AAUAUUCUUGACGCUAAUAAGUUAUCUUUUUCCUAUUAAACUGAAGCCGAUCCAGAUCCAGAUCCAGAUCCAGAUCCUGCCUGUAUGCCACAGCUCCACCUAAAGAGAUAAAAAGUGGGAACAUGUGUCAGGACAACAGGGAGAAAUCAGCUUCUGGACCUCUUAGUUGUGUUAUUGUAAUGUUCAAGUAUAUGAUUACUGCUUAGAGUGCUAAAUAUUCGUUAAAAGAUGAAUUAUCCUUAUUUAGUAAAUAUCUUGUUGCAUAUAAUGAAUAAUUUUUGUAUUUAAAGAUUUAAUUAGUUAAAUUCAUUUAGUUUGUUGUAUUGAAAAUUAACACUAAGCAUUAGUUUAAGAUAUUUGUGUAUUUAUUUAAUAAGAUUAAUCUGUUUACUAACUUAGUAUAAGUCUUAAAGUAAUUUAAUUUUAGAUAGAUUAAGUAGUUAGUAGUAAUUAGUUUAAGAUAUUUGUGUAUUUAAUAAAAUUGAGGUAAUCUUGUUGCUUACUUAGUAUAAGAAUUAGAGUAAUAUAAUUUUAGAUAAUGUAAGUAGUUCGUAAUAAUUAGUUUAAGAUAUUUGUAUAUUUAAUAAAGUAACUGUAUUACUAACUUAGUAUAAGUCGUAGAGUAAUAUAAUUAUAGAUAGAUUUUAAGUAUUAUUAAAAGUAGGGACGUGUUAUUAUUUUUAUUACGGUAACCUUUGUAAUUUCGCAAAACAUUGAUGUAAAUAAACAUACGCUUUUUUUCUUCUGUAA